GUCUCUCUGUUGUACCUGGUUGCCUCGGCAGCGGCAGGCUGCGUCAGCAAUGGGCGUGUACCUCAGUAGGGGCUGAUUGCCUCCGUGAUGGCUGACGCCCCUCCCCCGCGGAGCUGCACUUUAAAAAAAAAACCUAUUCACCGGGAGUGUUUGGAAUCGCCAUUUCGUUUGUCGCACUGCGCUCCCCCAAACCCUGAGUCGCUGGGAUUUCCUGGGCUGGGUCACAGUUCAAGACCCGUUCAGUCUCAAGUUCAGCCCUCUCGGGUCUUAGUUUGCUGGUUCAACAGGGCACCCGUAACAGUGCGCUUUUGUCUGGAGCGCUGUGGAGCGCCUCUGCGCUCCGGCGCGGGCCGGAGGCGCACCGGCUGCCGGCUACGUCAGCGGAGACCUCUUCCUGGCGUCCCGCGUCUAUUUUAUAACUGGGAAUUCCCCGUUCUGUGGGCAACUAAGAUCCGUCUGGAAAUGCUUCCCCGACUCACCCUUUCCGUGCGUCUGGCGAGAGCUUCAAUCCUGGGCUGUUCUCACAGCGCCAUCUUGAGUCCUCCCCCCGGUGUGACAUUCUUUAGAGAAAAGCAAAUCACAGCCCUAGCAGAGACCACCUGUGAUGCUGGCAAGUGUGCCUUCCAAUGCCCUCAUCUUUCUCUGGGAUUAUUUCCUUUACUCCUUUAUAAUAUUUGUCUCCUACCCCAGGAAUGCCCUUCCUUGUUGCAGCAAAUCUCUGGAAAAAGUGAAUUCUCAGUGAAUAUAAAACGGGGAUUGAGCUGGAGUCCACCAUCUAUAUCCAAGCAGCGAAACAACUGCAACAUUUGAACAGCAGAAGAUUGAGUAGGAAAAUUGAAUUCUGAAGCCGAAGGACAAAGUACAGAAUCAAAGGCCCUUGCUUGUAAAUGAGUUCUGUUCAAUCUUGCUCUCAUUUAUCUUCUUUUUGUUGUUGCCAGACUAUUUUCCCAACUAAUCCAUACUGGGAAGUUUUCCUUUAAGGCAAUUUGAUAUCUAGAGAUAAAAACAACAUACAACUUGCAGAAGUGGUGGGUUUUCUUAGAAAUUAAAAGAAUUAUUUGUUGCAAUAACUUUUAAAAACCCUGUGGAAAGGAUCUUAUAUUAGUACAAACAGUUCCCAACAUAUAAAUGGAUUAUGGGCCAAAAGUUUAUUUGUGAGUCAGUUGUGUGUAACUUGGAAAGCAUUUACCCAUAGGAACAGUAUUACAAGUAAUGUCCGGACACCAGCAGUUUGAAACAAUGGCUUGUGUAACCCAGUAUUAUACAUUUGAAACAGUAAAAUAACAGUUUCUCAAACUUAAGUAUGCGGAAGCACACCAAUGAGUAUUUCAAGCUAUGUACUAAACAUAGUGCUUCUUUCUGGUAUGUCAACUUUGUUUACAGUAUUUGGG
rnacentral:lncRNA from 1 species